UGAGUACGAGAUGCUACGGCAUCGAAGCAGUCUAUGUCAAACUUCCAAGAAAAGCUUGCACUGUCAUAAACGAAGAAUGCCUGUACCAUAACCGACACAGGUGGGUAGGUAGAGUAUACUAAGGGGCGCGAGAUAACUCUCUCUAAGGAACUCGGCAAAAUGACUCCAUAACUUCGGGAGAAGGAGUGCCUUAUUUCUAAGGUUGCAAUAACAAGAUCCAAGCAACUGUUUACCAAAAACACAGGUCUCCGCUAAGUCGUAAGACGAUGUAUGGGGGCUGACGCCUGCCCAGUGCCAGAAGGUUAAAGAAGUUGGUUAGCAUUAGCGAAGCUGAUAACUGAAGCCCUGGUGAACGGCGGCCGUAACUAUAACGGUCCUAAGGUAGCGAAAUUCCUUGUCGGGUAAGUUCCGACCCGCACGAAAGGCGUAAUGAUUUGGAUACUGUCUCGGAGAGGGGCUCGGUGAAAUAGACUUGUCUGUGAAGAUGCGGACUACCUGCACCUGGACAGAAAGACCCUAUGAAGCUUUACUGUAACUUGAGAUUGAAAUUGGACUUUAUUUGCGCAGUAUAGGUGGGAGGCGUUGAGAAUAAUCUUGCGGGAUUGUUGGAGCCAUCAGUGAGAUACCACUCUUGUAAUGUUAGAUUUCUAACUUUGUAUCAUUAUCUGGUCAAAGAACAGUUUCAGGCGGGCAGUUUGACUGGGGCGGUCGCCUCCCAAAGGGUAACGGAGGCGCACAAAGGUUUCCUCUGAACGGGUAGAAAUCGUAUCUAGAGUGUAAAGGCAUAAGGAAGCUUGACUGUGAGACCUACAAGUCGAGCAGGGACGAAAGUCGGUCUUAGUGAUCUGACGGUGCUGAGUGGAAAGGCCGUCACUCAACGGAUAAAAGUUACUCUAAGGAUAACAGGCUGAUCUCCCCCAAGAGUUCACAUCGACGGGGAGGUUUGGCACCUCGGUGUCGGCUCAUCGCAUCCUGGGGCGGUAGUCCGUCCCAAGGGUUGGGCUGUUCGCCCAUGAAAGCGGUACGCGAGCUGGGUUCAGAACGUCGUGAGACAGUUCGGUCCAUAUCCGGUGUAGGCGUUAGAAUAUUGAGAGGAGCCUUCUCUAGUACGAGAGGACCGAGAAGGACAUACCUCUGGUGUACCAGUUAUCGUGCCAACGGUAAACGCUGGGUAGCUAUGUAUGGAGUGGAUAACCGCUGAAAGCAUCUAAGUGGGAAGCCCACCUCAAGAUAAG
rnacentral:rRNA from 1 species